rnacentral:lncRNA from 1 species
AGAGCAGCCUCUGCAUGUGUUUCCCCCCCCCUCUUUCCUCUAUCUCCCAAUAGGGAAAAACCCAGGAUGACACAAAUAAUCCCCUUUAAUACCCAUCUGCUUUUGAUUUCCCGAUCUAGGAUUGGAUGCGCAAUGUUCUUGCCAGUGUUUGGCGUAGCUGAUUGGUCGUACCCACUGUGCAAUGGAAGAGGGUUUGUUGGGCUGGGCCUAGGGGGAUCCUCUUUAGCAUAAUGACCCAUGAGGAGGCUGAGCUACCCGAUUAGACCAAGAAACACUGCUACAGAGCAAGGAGGAAGGAGAAGGGGAGGCCACAGCCAAACAUAACCUAAUUUGACCUUGUCAGCUUUAAUCAUGGCUUCUCAUCAGCUGUGGGGAGGUGGGGUGGCGGUGUGGUGGGAGAAGGUACUAGGGCACAUGGACAUAUCCAUUCUCUGUAAUUGGAGAGAGUGAAGACGAAGAGAGAAAAAUAGCAACAGUGAUUUAAGGCAGAGACUGAAGGAGAAGUCCUGGAGAGAGCGUUGCUUCAGUGCUGCACUCACGGCCUCUGCACCCCUGCGUGCCUGUGUCUGUGUGAGUAAGCGUGUGAGAGAGAGAGAGAGCAAAAAAGAGGGGGGAGAGGGGGGCGUGUAGAUGUGUGUGUGUGCUUGCUACACAGCCAUGGUAGUGUGAGCUGAAUGAUGCUCUCUGGCUGUCUCUCUCCGCGCUGCCUGGCUGUUCCUGCUUUCUGCCGCCGCGCGCUGAUGAACCAUUUUAAGCUGCAGCGGACACACACAGCCCCGAACAACCGCUUCCUUGCAACGGCCAUCAUCCUGGUUCUACUGUCAGCUGAUGGUCUGACACAGUAGGACACUGCUGCCUCUGCACCGCUCCUACAACAGGGAAAUACAGAGACAGGACUGCUGCUUGUGAGCUCAGAAAUGAAGUUUUGCCCCUCCACUUCCCAGAUGUACCGCCCCAGUGUCAGUGUGUGGACAGACUACAUCUUCUAGAGGACAACAACCGAGCCCUGAAACUCAAGUCUGGGACCUUCAGCCAACACAGGCUACAGCACAAACUCCUGGAAAAUGAGCUUCAAGAUGUUCUCAAGGAGAAAAAGCACUUGAGUCACCACUUGUUCAACAAUAGCAAAAAGGCAGUCCAGAAUGAGCAGGUGAAGUCAGAGUAUGAGCAGCUCAAAGAGACCCUCGGUGUUGUGACUCAGGAGAGAGAUUCAGCCCUGCGGGAGAAGACCCAGCUCCAAGGCAAACUGGAGAACCUAGAGCAGGUGCUAAAGGUGAGAGUCUGGAGACACACUGUAGAUAACCUUAUUUUAUAUCUGCUGUAUCUCUACUGUAUGUCUACUGCAUCUCUACUGCAUCUCUACUGUAU